CUUUCAGGGGGGUCACUGGGGUGCUGUGGAUAGCGAAGGCGGGGGAGAGACGCUGGUGGGGCAGAGCCAGCACCCAGCACCCACUGGCGCCCAGCUCCUCCCACGUCUCUGGGCGCCGCGGGGGCCCGGGUGCCGUGGGCGAUACGGCUUCUGCAGGGAGACUCCAGCCCACCCUGUGUUCGCUCCCGCUCCGGUCGUGGGGCCCUCGCUUCCCCCCUCGUUAUCUCUGCAUCCUAUUAGAUCCUGGCACAGGCAGCGGGCGGAGGUGGAAACGCCACACCAGCCUGCCUUUGCCCCGGUUGUUUACUGGGGAAAUAAAUAGAGAAAGAAACUCGGCAGAACAGAUGCUUGGACCGACGCAGAGGCCCUGGGAGGCUCGUGCGGUGGAGUCGUCUUCAUAAACAGACGCCGAGAGGAGCAGCCCGGAAAGUCUGUCCAAGCUCCAAACAAACGAGGACCCGGAGCCAAGCGUGAGGCCAGCCGGAAGGUCCCAGCCAGGGAGGGAGAGCCCUGGGGUGGGGGCGGUCCAACAGGACGCCCAGCCCUUUGCUCGCGCGUGGGGGCGGGGUGGGGGGAGUUGGAGGAGAGGGGUGGGGGGCGCCAACAUCGGUAUCUUCCCCUUGCUGCUUUUUAAAGGCAGUGUUGGAAAGAGGGCUGGGGGGACAGGUGUGCUGGUUGGCUCUGAGACCCUCCCCUCUCCAGACACCGGCAUGCACUGUGCUUGGCCUGACAGUGGCCUGUGAGGACGUGAUGGGUGCCCCUCCCCCUGCCCCCCAACCCCAUUCUGCUGCUGCAGCUACACCAGCCUCCAGGGCCUCCUUGGCUGUUCCGGAAAUACACCCGUUUGCUCCUGCCUCAGGGCCCUUGCACCUGCUGCUCCCCCCCGCCCCCCAGCAACACUCUUCCCACACACUGUCCUGCGCCUUGCUCCCUCACUUCCUUUAAGCUUCUGCCCUCUUAAGUCAUAGGACUUUGGAUGAGGCUUAGUUAUGCGGCAAUUAGCAACCCCAGACUCUCCGAGUCUGUGCAGGGUGAAGGGUCACCUCUCACACACACUACACAUCCCGUGUCAUGGCCUGGGGGGCGCUGUUGGUCACUCAGAGCCCCAGGCUGACCCAGGCGCCUCUAUUUGUAUUUUCAUGGUCACCGGAGCUGUGGGAAGUCACGCAGCGGCUCUGCAGUUCCUCCCAGAACUGGCACCUGUCACGUGUCUUUGGCCAAAGCAAGUCACAAGGGUCCGGAAGACAUUGGGGGAACAGCUCCGUGUUACCCUGUUCCUGAGACACUCUGUGUCUGUGCCCCCCCCCCCCCCCCCCCCGCCGUGCCCUGGUUCUCUGCUGCGCCCCUCCCUACGUGAGGAGUCGGCAUGUUCAUCGCCUCACUGUUUGCAAAAGCAAGAACGUUGCCAACACUCAAAUAUUCUCCGGUUCUUGGACUCGACCAGCAUUUUGCAGACACACAACGGAAACCCGGGAGGCCGAUUGUGGGAACGGGUACCAGCCAGGUACGCUUCGGGGGGAAAGCCGCGUGUGUCCCAUAAUCCCACUUCAGUGGAUUAUACUUUGGCCUUCUGUAUUACACAUUUCUGA
rnacentral:lncRNA from 1 species